rnacentral:rRNA from 1 species
GAUUGAACGCUGGCGGCAGGCCUAACCCAUGCAAGUCGAGCGGAUGACGGGAGCUUGCUCCUGGAUUCAGCGGCGGACGGGUGAGUAAUGCCUAGGAAUCUGCCUGGUAGUGGGGGAUAACGUCCGGAAACGGGCGCUAAUACCGCAUACGUCCUGAGGGAGAAAGUGGGGGAUCUUCGGACCUCACGCUAUCAGAUGAGCCUAGGUCGGAUUAGCUAGUUGGUGGGGUAAAGGCCUACCAAGGCGACGAUCCGUAACUGGUCUGAGAGGAUGAUCAGUCACACUGGAACUGAGACACGGUCCAGACUCCUACGGGAGGCAGCAGUGGGGAAUAUUGGACAAUGGGCGAAAGCCUAAUCCAGCCAUGCCGCGUGUGUGAAGAAGGUCUUCGGAUUGUAAAGCACUUUAAGUUGGGAGGAAGGGCAGUAAGUUAAUACCUUGCUGUUUUGACGUUACCAACAGAAUAAGCACCGGCUAACUUCGUG